rnacentral:rRNA from 1 species
AACGCGAAGAACCUUACCUGGGCUAGACAACGGCGGACCGCCUGGGAAACCAGGCUUUCCCUUCGGGGACUGCCGGUUCAGGUGGUGCAUGGCUGUCGUCAGCUCGUGUCGUGAGAUGUUGGGUUAAGUCCCGCAACGAGCGCAACCCUCGUCCUAUGUUGCCAGCGGGUAAUGCCGGGGACUCAUAGGAGACUGCCGGGGUCAACUCGGAGGAAGGUGGGGAUGACGUCAAGUCCUCAUGCCCCUUAUGUCUUGGGCUGCAAACAUGCUACAAUGGCCGGUACAAAGGGUUGCGAGACCGCAAGGUGGAGCGAAUCCCAAAAAGCCGGUCUCAGUUCGGAUUGGGGUCUGCAACUCGACCCCAUGAAGUCGGAGUCGCUAGUAAUCGCAGAUCAGCAACGCUGCGGUGAAUACGUUCCCGGGCCUUGUACACACCGCGCAUA